rnacentral:tRNA from 1 species
GGAGAGGUGGCCGAGCGGUUUAAGGCGCACGCCUGGAAAGCGUGUUGGGUGCAAGCCCUCGAGGGUUCGAAUCCCUUCCUCUCCG